ACGCUGGCGGCGUGCUAAUACAUGCAAGUCGAGCGGACAGAAGGGAGCUUGCUCCCGGAUGUUAGCGGCGGACGGGUGAGUAACACGUGGGUAACCUGCCUGUAAGACUGGGAUAACUCCGGGAAACCGGAGCUAAUACCGGAUAGUUCCUUGAACCGCAUGGUUCAAGGAUGAAAGACGGUUUCGGCUGUCACUUACAGAUGGACCCGCGGCGCAUUAGCUAGUUGGUGGGGUAAUGGCUCACCAAGGCGACGAUGCGUAGCCGACCUGAGAGGGUGAUCGGCCACACUGGGACUGAGACACGGCCCAGACUCCUACGGGAGGCAGCAGUAGGGAAUCUUCCGCAAUGGACGAAAGUCUGACGGAGCAACGCCGCGUGAGUGAUGAAGGUUUUCGGAUCGUAAAGCUCUGUUGUUAGGGAAGAACAAGUGCGAGAGUAACUGCUCGCACCUUGACGGUACCUAACCAGAAAGCCAGGCAAUUAU
rnacentral:rRNA from 1 species